UACGGAGGAUCCGAGCGUUAUCCGGAUUUAUUGGGUUUAAAGGGUGCGCAGGCGGAAGAUUAAGUCGGUGGUGAAAUUUUGCAGCUCAACUGUAAAAGUGCCAUUGAUACUGGUUUUCUUGAGUGUGGAUGAAGUAGGCGGAAUUUGUGGUGUAGUGGUGAAAUGCAUAGAUAUCACGAGGAACUCCGAUUGCGCAGGCAGCUUACUAAACUACUACUGACGCUCAGGCACGAAGGCGUGGGGAUCAAACAGGAUUAGAUA
rnacentral:rRNA from 1 species